rnacentral:rRNA from 1 species
AUGGGCCAGGUUGGCAUGCGUCAGCUCACUCAUGAUAGUACUCCACCACCACCUACGAGAUGGCAUAUAUCAGUACUAGCAAUCGCUAACAAUUAUCACGAGGCCAAUACCAAAGAAAGAUCAAAUAGGGAACAAAGAUGGUGUAAACCAGAACCCAAAUUUGUGAAGGUAAAUGUGGAUGCUGCUUUCUUUGUUGAUGAAGGAGUGGGAGCUACAGCAGCUGUAAUUAGGGAUGCUAAUGGGAAUUUCCUAGCUGCACAGUGCAGGUAUAUCACCCAUGUGGCGGAUGUGGUGACAGCCGAAGCAACGGCUAUGCGUGAUGGGCUUAUUUUUGCAAAUUCUUUAGGGCUCCCUCGGGUGGAAGCUGAAUCAGAUUCCCAAAAUGUAAUCAAUUUCUGUGAUGGUCAGUCCAAGUGGUGGGAUGCAGCAGCGGCACUAUUUGCGGAGUGUGUGGAUGUGGCAUCAUCGAUCGGGAAGAUGAGCCCCCAGGCUGUCUGGUAUCCAAUCUCAUAG